GGAGAAUCUGAGACUUCUGAAGAGUUUCUUGCUUCUUUCCUGUGGGGCAGUGACUCCACUUCCCAGCAGUAAUGGAAUAUCCUGAAUUAGCUACAUUAAUGUUAGAACCAUUUGGACCUCACCCAGGACUUCAACUACAUUGUGGUUAAGACAGAGAAUCUGAAGACUGCAUACCUGACCUCUUGUUUUUACCUACCCACCCACCAACACCCAAAUAUUUCUACUGGACUAUAAUUUAUUGUGACGCCCCCACUUCCACUGCAGGAUGUUACAAGAAAUGAGACUCACUACUGAAUUCACAGCAGGCAUGGUUGAAGGCACCAUUCACUAUAGCUUGCAGUAUUCCCUUUAUGAGAUUUGUAUGAGAAAUUCCUCUCGUAGGUCAAGUUCUUGGGAGAAAAUUCUCCCAAAGAGCAAGUCCCAGGAAAAGCUUGGCUGCUAAAGUUACAGAAUCCAAAUUUGGCAACUGCCUGCAUCUGAACAACAGAAGUUUCAACAUUCUGCCAACAGAGUAACUCCUGGACGACUGGCACAGAAGAAGGCACAAGGCAAAUACCCAUCUCUGUACACCCUGUGCUACUGUGUCAUGUGCUGCUCCAGGCAACUCCAAUGGAUUGGCCACCCUGGCCAAUGUGCCCUCCAAACACCAGCACUGAGUAGAAAGAGGCUCUGAUUCAUGAAAUGUGAAUUUAUGACAGUUGCCACUCUUUAAAAAAAAACAGACAGAACUUGAGCAAUACAUGACUGAUGCAUUCUCAGCCUGCUUCCUGUGUUCCAUCUGUCUUUCU
rnacentral:antisense_RNA from 1 species